GAGUUUGAUCUUGGCUCAGAUUGAACGCUGGCGGCAGGCCUAACACAUGCAAGUCGAGCGGAUGACGGGAGCUUGCUCCUUGAUUCAGCGGCGGACGGGUGAGUAAUGCCUAGGAAUCUGCCUGGUAGUGGGGGACAACGUUUCGAAAGGAACGCUAAUACCGCAUACGUCCUACGGGAGAAAGCAGGGGACCUUCGGGCCUUGCGCUAUCAGAUGAGCCUAGGUCGGAUUAGCUAGUUGGUGGGGUAAUGGCUCACCAAGGCGACGAUCCGUAACUGGUCUGAGAGGAUGAUCAGUCACACUGGAACUGAGACACGGUCCAGACUCCUACGGGAGGCAGCAGUGGGGAAUAUUGGACAAUGGGCGAAAGCCUGAUCCAGCCAUGCCGCGUGUGUGAAGAGGGUCUUCGGAUUGUAAAGCACUUUAAGUUGGGAGGAAGGGCAGUAAGUUAAUACUUGCUGUUUUGACGUUACCGACAGAAUAAGCACCGGCUAACUCUGUGCCAGCAGCC
rnacentral:rRNA from 1 species